rnacentral:rRNA from 1 species
ACGGUAACAUUUCUAGCUUGCUAGAAGAUGACGAGUGGCGGACGGGUGAGUAAUGCUUGGGAACUUGCCUUUGCGAGGGGGAUAACAGUUGGAAACGACUGCUAAUACCGCAUAAUGUCUUCGGACCAAACGGGGCUUCGGCUCCGGCGCAAAGAGAGGCCCAAGUGAGAUUAGCUAGUUGGUAAGGUAACGGCUUACCAAGGCGACGAUCUCUAGCUGUUCUGAGAGGAAGAUCAGCCACACUGGGACUGAGACACGGCCCAGACUCCUACGGGAGGCAGCAGUGGGGAAUAUUGCACAAUGGGGGAAACCCUGAUGCAGCCAUGCCGCGUGUGUGAAGAAGGCCUUCGGGUUGUAAAGCACUUUCAGUUGUGAGGAAAAGUUAGUAGUUAAUACCUGCUAGCCGUGACGUUAACAACAGAAGAAGCACCGGCUAACUCCGUGCCAGCAGCCGCGGUAAUACGGAGGGUGCGAGCGUUAAUCGGAAUUACUGGGCGUAAAGCGCACGCAGGCGGUUUGUUAAGCUAGAUGUGAAAGCCCCGGGCUCAACCUGGGAUGGUCAUUUAGAACUGGCAGACUAGAGUCUUGGAGAGGGGAGUGGAAUUCCAGGUGUAGCGGUGAAAUGCGUAGAUAUCUGGAGGAACAUCAGUGGCGAAGGCGACUCCCUGGCCAAAGACUGACGCUCAUGUGCGAAAGUGUGGGUAGCGAACAGGAUUAGAUACCCUGGUAGUCCACACCGUAAACGCUGUCUACUAGCUGUGUGUGCCUUUAAGGCGUGCGUAGCGAAGCUAACGCGCUAAGUAG